rnacentral:lncRNA from 1 species
GGGAGGGUAAUAGGUAGACGAGCCUUACCCCUACCCGAAAGGGCAGAGAGGCUGUUUCCAAUCGACCAUCGGCUCAGUGAAGGACACAAGAAACAAAAACAACAACAAAAAAGCAUUAGUAACUUCAGCAGAAAUAGCGUAAAUAAUUAUCUAAACAUAAAAACCAUAAAUAAAAUAGCAUGCAAUAAUAUCAGACAGUAA